UUGCUUGAGGGCACCAACGGUUCUCUGUAUGCAAAGCAUAUGAGAUGAAAAGGGAACACGGUGCGGUGUACCCAUCAGGGACCAAAACCGUGGCUGCCCCCGCAACUGUAAGCGGAUGGCUGACACCAUCGCGAUGCCACUGAACACCCUGUUCGGGAAGGCCGUGUCACAAAGCCGAUAUCCGCGAGCCAGGAGACCUGCCGCUGGCGCAUGGCCCAU
rnacentral:ncRNA from 2 species